rnacentral:rRNA from 1 species
CGCGCAGGCGGCGAGUUUUGUCAGGCGUGAAAGCCCCGGGCUCAACCUGGGAACUGCGCUUGAAACGGGCUUGCUAGAGAUCGGGAGAGGAGAGUGGAAUUCCCAGUGUAGAGGUGAAAUUCGUAGAUAUUGGGAAGAACACCAGUGGCGAAGGCGGCUCUCUGGACCGACACUGACGCUGAGGCGCGAAAGCGUGGGAGCAAACA